CCCAACUAACAAAACCCAAAAAACCAUAGCUCUUUUAACAGAGAGGAUUUAGGGGCACCUGAGUGGCUCAGUUGAUUAAGUGUCUGGCUUUGGCUCAGGUCAUGAUCCCAUGGUUUGUGGGUUCGAGCCCCGCAUCGUGCUCUGUGCUGACAGCACAGAGCCUGGGGCCUGAUUCAGAUUGUGUGUCUCCCUCUCUCUCUAUUGCUCCCCCACUCGUGCUCUUUGCCUCUCUCUCAAAAAUAAACAUUUUAAAAAAAUUUAAAAAAAGUAGAGAAGAUUCAGCUUUCUUGAGUAAUUAAACACCUGAUAAAGUCAACACAGGAAAUUAUUUUGCCAGGACACACAAUCUUUGUUUUCUCUGAAGAUUACGUUAAGAGGUGAAGAAAAAUCUUUCAUACCCUCUUAGCAAGAACAGACCAAGAGUCCAAGAAAACUUUGUCCUUUUAACCGAGAGACAGCCAAAUUCUAAUUUUGCACCAACUUACUUUUUAUAUUAAAGCUUAUUUGCUUGGGGUGCCUGAGUGGCUCAGUCAGUUGGACAUCCAAUCUUGAUUUCUCCUCAGGUCAUGGUCCCAGGGUUGUGGGAUUGAGUGCUGUGUUGGGCUCCAUGCUGAGCGAGCAUCUUGCUUAAGAUUGUUACUCUCUCUCCCUCUGCUUCUCUCCUCCUCUUGUGCUCUGUCUCUGUCUCUGUCUCUC